CUUUUAAAGGAUAGAAGUAAUCCACUGGUUUUAGCGACCAUCAACCCU
rnacentral:tRNA from 1 species